AAAAUACUCUACAGUUAAUCGCAUUGACAGGCAAUGAUGACUCUUGGGCAUGGUUUGAACAGCUAGUUGGUAGAGGAAGGCACUCUGUCUCAUAUGGAAAGUAGCUUCAUCUUCAGUAAGAUCUACUAGUUGUCUGAAUUUCUUGUCUACAUUACUGCAAUCUACGUGGCAUGCCUUUGCUUGAGCAAUUACAGAUUCCAUCUUAGGUAGCUUCUGAUCAAUCAGAGGAGGAAGAUCUUUGUCCACCGUAGUUACACUAAGCACCCGCUCAAAGUCUUGAAUGUUUUGCUUCAUUUCAUGCGACAGCUUGUCAAGGGCCGGAAGCUUCGCGAUGCUAGGGUAAUAUGCCCGAGCCACAUACAACAAGUCUUUCAUCUUUCUAACAGUGAAAUCAUUCACUUUCUCCUUAUGAUUGCGACGCCAUAAACAGUAGCUCCCAAAUUUUAGCUCACAUAAUUUCUCACCCUCAUCAAUGUCUCUGAUAUUCUCAGUGGCACCAGGCGUAGAACCAACAUUGGUGCUCUGCUUUUUUUUCCCCAAGUCACCAGCACCUAUGCUCUGCUUUGCUGUUGCCAAGUCACCAACACCUGUGCUCUGCUUUGUUUUUCCCAAGUCACCAACAUCUCUGCUCUGCUCUUUUUUUCCCAAGUCACCAACAACAGUGCUCUGCUUUGCUUUUGCCAAGUCACCAGCACCUGUGCUCUGCUUUGUAUUUGCCAAGUCACCGACACCUGUGCUGUGUCUUUUUUUGGUUAAGUCGCCAACACCUGUGCUAUUUACUCCUAAGCGUUCUUUGGGCAAUCCAUCCAACAAAGGAAAUCCAGCAGUCUUGUUCUCCGCUUUCCCGACAACAAUAUUUUCCCCAAAAUCCUUGGGAAGAGUUGGUUCCAAUCUUUGCAUUAGGUCAUCCACAUGUGUUGACUCAUCAUCCUCCGACUGAUUCUCAAUCUUAGGAGUAUAAUGUCGACCGUAGAUUCUAAGUCCCACUGAAGCUGAACUUUGUUGUGGUGUUGUAUAUCCCGAAGAGUGAAAACCGUUAUGGAGGCCAAGCAGAAACACUAGAGGCACGAGCAAUGAAAGUAAAACGAGACCCAACACCGCAAUCACCAAACCUUUCCAUCGCCUCUUCGCCGGAAGUAUACCACCCUUCAUCUCUUCCUCCCUUGCCUAAUCCUCCUCCUUCUCCUCUCGUUUGCCUUCUCCACCUUCGCAAUUCGCUUUGAUUUGUUCUCCUUUCCCCAACUGCCAAACAGCGUUUGCUCCGAAUCUACACAACACGACAAUGUCCGUUUCCGGUAAUCUGUAUGUCCGGCGCCGUCGAAAGUAAAUCGUCCGGCCGAGGCCCG
rnacentral:misc_RNA from 1 species